rnacentral:rRNA from 1 species
AUUGAACGCUGGCGGCAUGCUUUACACAUGCAAGUCGAACGGUAACAGGCCUUCGAGUGCUGACGAGUGGCGAACGGGUGAGUAAUGCAUCGGAACGUACCCAGAGGUGGGGGAUAACGCAGCGAAAGCUGUGCUAAUACCGCAUGUGAUCUGAGGAUGAAAGCGGGGGACCGAGCAGCAAUGUUUGGCCUCGCGCCUUUGGAGCGGCCGAUGUCGGAUUAGCUAGUUGGUGGGGUAAAGGCCUACCAAGGCGACGAUCCGUAGCUGGUCUGAGAGGACGACCAGCCACACUGGGACUGAGACACGGCCCAGACUCCUACGGGAGGCAGCAGUGGGGAAUUUUGGACAAUGGGCGCAAGCCUGAUCCAGCAAUGCCGCGUGCGGGAAGAAGGCCUUCGGGUUGUAAACCGCUUUUGGCAGGAACGAAACGGUGUCCGCUAAUACCGGGCGCUAAUGACGGUACCUGCAGAAUAAGCACCGGCUAACUACGU